GCUUUGGUAAUGCGUUUUUGCGAGUCACGUGUACAUACAGGCGCUUUGUUUGCCGUAAUCAUGUCUGUCGAUGCAAAAUCUUAUCGAAAUUCGUCAAAAAAUAGAUGUUUUGCUCAUUGCUCUAGUGUUUCCGAAGAUCUCAAACCUUUCACUACCACACGGUGGAACACAUUAGUAAGCAGUGUGAAUAUUUGGAAAGAUUUAGUGGGGUAUCAGGCUGAUAUAGCGAGAGCCUUUUUACGCGAAGUUGGACCUGAUGCGCUGGUCGAUACUGCUGUAGUAAGCUUACCAGUGGUAGUACCAGAAUUUGGUGGAUAUCACCCGACGUGCUAUCGCUAUUUCACAGAUUCAUCAAAGCAAGAGAGAGGGAAACUCAACAAAGACAAACAAAAAACAGACGCUGCAUCAUGUCACACUUUAGAAUUGGAGCCUUCUACGUCAAGUGCAGGCGGUCAAGCUCCAGGUCCGUCCUCAGCCUCAGCAAUAAGACGCUUACGGUCAAAUUCCAGUGUUGCUGGUGCUUCAAAGCAGCCCUCUGUCUCUGCCCACAUUCUACCAAAGAUUUGCAUCAACUGUCGACAAAAUAAAACU